rnacentral:rRNA from 1 species
GACGAACGCUGGCGGCGUGCUUAACACAUGCAAGUCGAACGGAAAGGCCCUGCUUUUGUGGGGUGCUCGAGUGGCGAACAGGUGAGUAACACGUGAGUAACCUGCCCUUGACUUUGGGAUAACUUCAGGAAACUGGGGCUAAUACCGGAUAGGAGCUCCUGCUGCAUGGUGGGGGUUGGAAAGUUUCGGCGGUUGGGGAUGGACUCGCGGCUUAUCAGCUUGUUGGUGGGGUAGUGGCUUACCAAGGCUUUGACGGGUAGCCGGCCUGAGAGGGUGACCGGCCACAUUGGGACUGAGAUACGGCCCAGACUCCUACGGGAGGCAGCAGUGGGGAAUAUUGCACAAGGGGCGGAAGCCUGAUGCAGCAACGCCGCGUGCGGGAGGACGGCCUUCGGGUUGUAAACCGCUUUCGCCUGUGACGAAGCGUGAGUGACGGGAAUGGGGAAAGAAGCACCGGCGAACUACGG